UACGAAGGGGGCUAGCGUUACUCGGAUUGACUGGGCGUAAAGGGCGCGUAGGCGGUUUGUACAGUCAGACGUGAAAUUCCUGGGCUCAACCUGGGGGCUGCGUUUGAUACGUGCGGACUUGAGUUCGGAAGAGGGUCGUGGAAUUCCCAGUGUAGAGGUGAAAUUCGUAGAUAUUGGGAAGAACACCGGUGGCGAAGGCGGCGACCUGGUCCGAUACUGACGCUGAGGCGCGAAAGCGUGGGGGAGCGAACAGG
rnacentral:rRNA from 1 species